UACAGAGGUCCCAAGCGUUGUUCGGAUUCACUGGGCGUAAAGGGUGCGUAGGCGGUCGGGUAAGUCUGAUGUGAAAUCUCACAGCUUAACUGUGAAACUGCAUUGGAUACUAUCCGGCUAGAGGAAUGGAGGGGAGACUGGAAUACUUGGUGUAGCAGUGAAAUGCGUAGAUAUCAAGUGGAACACCACUGGCGAAGGCGAGUCUCUGGACAUUUCCUGACGCUGAGGCACGAAAGCCAGGGGAGCAAACGGG
rnacentral:rRNA from 1 species